rnacentral:lncRNA from 1 species
GUUUAAAAUUUACGGUUUGGGUUUAGGGUCUACUACUUGAGUUUAGGGUAUUGAGUUUAGGUUUAUAGUCUAGUUUUCGGGUUUAGGGUAUAUAAUUUGGGUUUAGGAUCUAGGAUUAGAGUUUAGGGUAUAGGGGUUGGAUUUGGGUUUAGAAUUUAAGGUAUAGGGUUUAGAAUUUAUGAUUUAGGGUUUAGGGUUUAUCUAGAAGCGUUAGCGUAGUUAAAAUUAGCGUUUUUAUUUUUUGUAGUUAUUUUUUAUUUAAUUUAAUGUUUUUUAAUUAAUAAUCUAUGUGUCAAUUUGAUUGAUUUUAAAGGGUGAAGUGAAUUUAUCAUAAGUUAUGUCGUUAUUAUUAUGGUUUAAGACGCAGCCAUGUGGUGAAGACAUA